AGUAUACGAUGUCAGAAAUGGUUCCUGGCGCGCUCUUCGAAGUACCUGAGAUGCCGGAUACACCGCCUGGCCGUAUGCU
rnacentral:ncRNA from 1 species